AAAGUUUGACAGACAAUCGCCGGCGGCUUUAAGCCGCGGGAGGAAAGUCCGGGCUCCACAGGGCAGGAUGCUGGAUAACGUCCAGUCAGCGCGAGUUGAAGGAUAGUGCCACAGAAACGGACCGCCGAUGGCGCCGCUUCUUCGGAAGCGGACCGCACAGGCAAGGGUGGAACCGUGGUGUAAGAGACCACGAGGGGCUAUGGUGACAUAGCGCCUGGUAAACCCCAUCCGGAGCAAGACCUAGAGGAACGCGAGGGGCUUCGCGCCCCAGCCUUAGCCCGAGGCGCGUUCGGGUUGGUCGCUUGAGCCGUGCAGCAAUGUACGGCCUAGAUAGAUGAUUGUCGCCUCAUUGGUGGGAGGGUAAUCCCCGUUAUCACCACCCGAGGUACAGAACCCGGCUUACGGCAAACUUUCCAU
rnacentral:RNase_P_RNA from 1 species